rnacentral:rRNA from 1 species
GAUGAACGCUGGCGGCGUGCCUAAUACAUGCAAGUCGAGCGAACGGACGAGAAGCUUGCUUCUCUGAUGUUAGCGGCGGACGGGUGAGUAACACGUGGAUAACCUACCUAUAAGACUGGGAUAACUUCGGGAAACCGGAGCUAAUACCGGAUAAUAUUUUGAACCGCAUGGUUCAAAAGUGAAAGACGGUCUUGCUGUCACUUAUAGAUGGAUCCGCGCUGCAUUAGCUAGUUGGUAAGGUAACGGCUUACCAAGGCAACGAUGCAUAGCCGACCUGAGAGGGUGAUCGGCCACACUGGAACUGAGACACGGUCCAGACUCCUACGGGAGGCAGCAGUAGGGAAUCUUCCGCAAUGGGCGAAAGCCUGACGGAGCAACGCCGCGUGAGUGAUGAAGGUCUUCGGAUCGUAAAACUCUGUUAUUAGGGAAGAACAUAUGUGUAAGUAACUGUGCACAUCUUGACGGUACCUAAUCAGAAAGCCACGGCUAACUACGUGCCAGCAGCCGCGGUAAUACGUAGGUGGCAAGCGUUAUCCGGAAUUAUUGGGCGUAAAGCGCGCGUAGGCGGUUUUUUUAAGUCUGAUGUGAAAGCCCACGGCUCAACCGUGGAGGGUCAUUGGAAACUGGAAAACUUGAGUGCAGAAGAGGAAAGUGGAAUUCCAUGUGUAGCGGUGAAAUGCGCAGAGAUAUGGAGGAACACCAGUGGCGAAGGCGACUUUCUGGUCUGUAACUGACGCUGAUGUGCGAAAGCGUGGGGAUCAAACAGGAUUAGAUACCCUGGUAGUCCACGCCGUAAACGAUGAGUGCUAAGUGUUAGGGGGUUUCCGCCCCUUAGUGCCGCAGCUAACGCAUUAAGCACUCCGCCUGGGGAGUACGACCGCAAGGUUGAAACUCAAAGGAAUUGACGGGGACCCGCACAAGCGGUGGAGCAUGUGGUUUAAUUCGAAGCAACGCGAAGAACCUUACCAAAUCUUGACAUCCUUUGACAACUCUAGAGAUAGAGCCUUCCCCUUCGGGGGACAAAGUGACAGGUGGUGCAUGGUUGUCGUCAGCUCGUGUCGUGAGAUGUUGGGUUAAGUCCCGCAACGAGCGCAACCCUUAAGCUUAGUUGCCAUCAUUAAGUUGGGCACUCUAAGUUGACUGCCGGUGACAAACCGGAGGAAGGUGGGGAUGACGUCAAAUCAUCAUGCCCCUUAUGAUUUGGGCUACACACGUGCUACAAUGGACAAUACAAAGGGCAGCGAAACCGCGAGGUCAAGCAAAUCCCAUAAAGUUGUUCUCAGUUCGGAUUGUAGUCUGCAACUCGACUACAUGAAGCUGGAAUCGCUAGUAAUCGUAGAUCAGCAUGCUACGGUGAAUACGUUCCCGGGUCU